rnacentral:rRNA from 1 species
CAGUCGCCGCGGUAAUACAGAGGAUGCAAGCGUUAUCCGGAAUGAUUGGGCGUAAAGCGUCUGUAGGUGGCUUUUCAAGUCCGCCGUCAAAUCCCAGGGCUCAACCCUGGACAGGCAGUGGAAACUACCAAGCUGGAGUACGGUAGGGGCAGAGGGAAUUUCCGGUGUAGCGGUGAAAUGCGUAGAGAUGUGGAGGAACACCAGUGGCGAAGGCGACUCUCUGGUCUGUAACUGACGCUGAGGAGCGAAAGCGUGGGGAGCGAACAGGAUUAGAUACCCCAGUAGUCCCUGUCUCUUAUAA